rnacentral:rRNA from 1 species
UACGUAGGGUGCAAGCGUUGUCCGGAAUUAUUGGGCGUAAAGAGCUUGUAGGCGGUUUGUCGCGUCUGCUGUGAAAUUUCGGGGCUCAACCCCGAACUUGCAGUGGGUACGGGCAGACUAGAGUGUGGUAGGGGAGACUGGAAUUCCUGGUGUAGCAGUGAAAUGCGUAGAGAUCAAGAGGAACACUCGUGGCGAAAGCGAGCUACUGGACAAUUCCUGACGCUGAGGCUCGAAGGCUAGGGUAGCGAAAGGG